rnacentral:rRNA from 1 species
GAGUUUGACUGCUCAGAUUGAACGCUGGCGGCAGGCCUAACACAUGCAAGUCAGCGGAUGAGGGGAGCUUGCUCCAUGAUUCAGCGGCGGACGGGUGAGUAAUGCCUAGGAAUCUGCCUGGUAGUGGGGGACAACGUUUCGAAAGGAACGCUAAUACCGCAUACGUCCUACGGAGAAAGGGGGGAUCUUCGGACCUCACGCUAUAUAUGAGCCUAGUCGGAUUAGCUAGUUGGUGAGGUAAAGGCUCACCAGGCGACGAUCCGUAACUGGUCUGAAGGAUGAUCACUCACACUGGAACUGAACACGGCCAACUCUACGGAGGAGCAGUGGGGAAUAUUGACAAUGGCGAAAGCCUGUCCAGCCAUGCCGCGUGUGUAGAAGGCUUCUAUUGUAAGCACUUUUUUGAGGAGGGCAGUAGUAAUACCUUGCUGUUUUGACGUUACCACAGAAUAAGCACCGCUAACUUCUGCCAGCAGCCGCGGAUACUAGGGUGCAAGCGGUAAUUAAAUUACUGCGUAAAGCGCGCGUAGGUGGGUCGCUAUUUGAUGGGGAAAACCCGGGCUCAUCUUGGGGACGCAUUCAUACUUGCUGAGCUACAUUAUGCUAGGGUGGGGGAAUUUCUUUGCGGAGAAA